rnacentral:lncRNA from 1 species
UAAAAAUGCACGUGACUUUGCACCUAAAGAAUUACCUGAAUUUGCACCUGAAGAAGUACCUGAUUUUGGAGCUGAAGAUGUACCUGAUUUUGGAGCUGAAGAUGUACCUGAAGCACCUGAAAAUAUAUAUGAAGAAGUUUUUGAAGAAUGAAGCACUAACAAGAAAAGAACCUCGAAGAAGAGAAAAUCAAACAAAAAGAAAAAGUCAACCCCAAGGAAAAAGGAUAGAACCCAAAAUAAAAUGGACAUGACAUCAAG